UUGCAAGGAUGAUUUAUGAUUUUCUCCAGAUAUUGAUGAUGGUAGAAUAACGAGCUUUUUAAAUCUGAGCGAG